rnacentral:rRNA from 1 species
CGGGUGAGUAAUGUAUAGGAUCUACCUAGUAGUACGGAAUAAUUGUUGGAAACGACAACUAAUACCGUAUACGCCCUACGGGGGAAAAAUUUAUUGCUAUUAGAUGAGCCUAUAUUAGAUUAGCUAGUUGGUGGGGUAAUAGCCUACCAAGGUAAUGAUCUAUAGCUGAUCUGAGAGGAUGAUCAGCCACACUGGAACUGAGAUACGGUCCAGACUCCUACGGGAGGCAGCAGUGGGGAAUAUUGGACAAUGGGCGAAAGCCUGAUCCAGCCAUGCCGCAUGAGUGAAGAAGGCCUUUGGGUUGUAAAGCUCUUUUAGUGAGGAAGAUAAUGACGGUACUCACAGAAGAAGUCCUGGCUAACUCCGUGCCAGCAGCCGCGGUAAUACGGAGAGGGCUAGCGUUAUUCGGAAUUAUUGGGCGUAAAGGGCGCGUAGGCUGGUUAAUAAGUUAAAAGUGAAAUCCCGAGGCUUAACCUUGGAAUUGCUUUUAAAACUAUUAAUCUAGAGAUUGAAAGAGGAUAGGGGAAUUCCUGAUGUAGAGGUAAAAUUCGUAAAUAUUAGGAGGAACACCAGUGGCGAAGGCGUCUAUCUGGUUCAAAUCUGACGCUGAAGCGCGAAGGCGUGGGGAGCAAACAGGAUUAGAUACCCUGGUAGUCCACGCUGUAAACGAUGAAUGUUAAAUAUGGGGAGUUUACUUUCUGUAUUACAGCUAACGCGUUAAACAUUCCGCCUGGGGACUACGGUCGCAAGAUUAAAACUCAAAGGAAUUGACGGGGACCCGCACAAGCGGUGGAGCAUGUGGUUAAUUCGAUGCAACGCGAAAACC